CUUUAUUGAAACACCGGUUCUUGUACAAUCACCGAAAUUAAGCAACCCCAGGCCAGGUUAGUAAGUAGGUGGGUGACCGCUUGGGAAUACCAGGUGCUGUAAG